GGGUUGUGAGGUUAAGCGACUAAGCGUACACGGUGGAUGCCCUGGCAGUCAGAGGCGAUGAAGGACGUGCUAAUCUGCGAAAAGCGUCGGUAAGGUGAUAUGAACCGUUAUAACCGGCGAUGUCCGAAUGGGGAAACCCAGUGUGAUUCGUCACACUAUCGUUAACUGAAUACAUAGGUUAACGAGGCGAACCGGGGGAACUGAAACAUCUAAGUACCCCGAGGAAAAGAAAUCAACCGAGAUUCCCCCAGUAGCGGCGAGCGAACGGGGAGCAGCCCAGAGUCUGAAUCAGCUUGUGUGUUAGUGGAACGGUCUGGAAAGUCCGACGGUACAGGGUGAUAGUCCCGUACACCAAAAUGCACAGGCUGUGAACUCGAAGAGUAGGGCGGGACACGUGGUAUCCUGUCUGAAUAUGGGGGGACCAUCCUCCAAGGCUAAAUACUCCUGACUGACCGAUAGUGAACCAGUACCGUGAGGGAAAGGCGAAAAGAACCCCGGCGAGGGGAGUGAAAAAGAACCUGAAACCGUGUACGUACAAGCAGUGGGAGCACCUUCGGGUGUGACUGCGUACCUUUUGUAUAAUGGGUCAGCGACUUAUAUUCUGUAGCAAGGUUAACCGUAUAGGGGAGCCGCAGGGAAACCGAGUCUUAACUGGGCGUUAAGUUGCAGGGUAUAGACCCGAAACCCGGUGAUCUAGCCAUGGGCAGGUUGAAGGUUGGGUAACACUAACUGGAGGACCGAACCGACUAAUGUUGAAAAAUUAGCGGAUGACUUGUGGCUGGGGGUGAAAGGCCAAUCAAACCGGGAGAUAGCUGGUUCUCCCCGAAAGCUAUUUAGGUAGCGCCUCGUGAACUCAUCUUCGGGGGUAGAGCACUGUUUCGGCUAGGGGGUCAUCCCGACUUACCAACCCGAUGCAAACUACGAAUACCGAAGAAUGUUAUCACGGGAGACACACGGCGGGUGCUAACGUCCGUCGUGAAGAGGGAAACAACCCAGACCGCCAGCUAAGGUCCCAAAGUCAUGGUUAAGUGGGAAACGAUGUGGGAAGGCACAGACAGCCAGGAUGUUGGCUUAGAAGCAGCCAUCAUUUAAAGAAAGCGUAAUAGCUCACUGGUCGAGUCGGCCUGCGCGGAAGAUGUAACGGGGCUAAACCAUGCACCGAAGCUGCGGCAGCGACACUAUGUGUUGUUGGGUAGGGGAGCGUUCUGUAAGCCUGCGAAGGUGUGCUGUGAGGCAUGCUGGAGGUAUCAGAAGUGCGAAUGCUGACAUAAGUAACGAUAAAGCGGGUGAAAAGCCCGCUCGCCGGAAGACCAAGGGUUCCUGUCCAACGUUAAUCGGGGCAGGGUGAGUCGACCCCUAAGGCGAGGCCGAAAGGCGUAGUCGAUGGGAAACAGGUUAAUAUUCCUGUACUUGGUGUUACUGCGAAGGGGGGACGGAGAAGGCUAUGUUAGCCGGGCGACGGUUGUCCCGGUUUAAGCAUGUAGGCUGGUUGUCCAGGCAAAUCCGGAUAAUCAAGGCUGAGGUGUGAUGACGAGGCACUACGGUGCUGAAGUAACAAAUGCCCUGCUUCCAGGAAAAGCCUCUAAGCAUCAGGUAACAUCAAAUCGUACCCCAAACCGACACAGGUGGUCAGGUAGAGAAUACCAAGGCGCUUGAGAGAACUCGGGUGAAGGAACUAGGCAAAAUGGUGCCGUAACUUCGGGAGAAGGCACGCUGGUGUGUAGGUGAAGCCCCUGCGGGUGGAGCUGAGACCAGUCGAAGAUACCAGCUGGCUGCAACUGUUUAUUAAAAACACAGCACUGUGCAAACACGAAAGUGGACGUAUACGGUGUGACGCCUGCCCGGUGCCGGAAGGUUAAUUGAUGGGGUUAUCCGUAAGGAGAAGCUCUUGAUCGAAGCCCCGGUAAACGGCGGCCGUAACUAUAACGGUCCUAAGGUAGCGAAAUUCCUUGUCGGGUAAGUUCCGACCUGCACGAAUGGCGUAAUGAUGGCCAGGCUGUCUCCACCCGAGACUCAGUGAAAUUGAACUCGCUGUGAAGAUGCAGUGUACCCGCGGCAAGACGGAAAGACCCCGUGAACCUUUACUAUAGCUUGACACUGAACAUUGAGCCUUGAUGUGUAGGAUAGGUGGGAGGCUUUGAAGCGUGGACGCCAGUCUGCGUGGAGCCAACCUUGAAAUACCACCCUUUAAUGUUUGAUGUUCUAACGUUGGCCCCUUACCGGGGUUGCGGACAGUGUCUGGUGGGUAGUUUGACUGGGGCGGUCUCCUCCCAAAGCGUAACGGAGGAGCACGAAGGUUAGCUAAUCCUGGUCGGACAUCAGGAGGUUAGUGCAAUGGCAUAAGCUAGCUUGACUGCGAGCGUGACGGCGCGAGCAGGUGCGAAAGCAGGUCAUAGUGAUCCGGUGGUUCUGAAUGGAAGGGCCAUCGCUCAACGGAUAAAAGGUACUCCGGGGAUAACAGGCUGAUACCGCCCAAGAGUUCAUAUCGACGGCGGUGUUUGGCACCUCGAUGUCGGCUCAUCACAUCCUGGGGCUGAAGUAGGUCCCAAGGGUAUGGCUGUUCGCCAUUUAAAGUGGUACGCGAGCUGGGUUUAGAACGUCGUGAGACAGUUCGGUCCCUAUCUGCCGUGGGCGCUGGAGAAUUGAGGGGGGCUGCUCCUAGUACGAGAGGACCGGAGUGGACGCAUCACUGGUGUUCGGGUUGUCAUGCCAAUGGCACUGCCCGGUAGCUAAAUGCGGAAGAGAUAAGUGCUGAAAGCAUCUAAGCACGAAACUUGCCCCGAGAUGAGUUCUCCCUGAGACUUUAAGUCUCCUGAAGGAACGUUGAAGACGACGACGUUGAUAGGCCGGGUGUGUAAGCGCAGCGAUGCGUUGAGCUAACCGGUACUAAUGAACCGUGAGGCUUAACCUUACAACGCCGAAG
rnacentral:rRNA from 1 species